rnacentral:rRNA from 1 species
CCUACGGGAGGCUGCAGUGAGGAAUAUUGGUCAAUGGGCGAGAGCCUGAACCAGCCAAGUCGCGUGAGGGAGUACUGCCCUAUGGGUUGUAAACCUCUUUUGUCGGGGAGCAAAAGCCGGACGUGUCCGGCUGUGAGAGUACCCGAAGAAAAAGCAUCGGCUAACUCCGUGCCAGCAGCCGCGGUAAUACGGAGGAUGCGAGGGUUAUCCGGAUUUAUUGGGUUUAAAGGGGGCGCAGGCGGAUUUUUAAGUCAGCGGUAAAAUCGUGGGGCUCAACCCCAUCCAGCCGUUGAAACUGGGGAUCUAGAGUGUGCGAGAGGUAUGCGGAAUGCGUGGUGUAGCGGUGAAAUGCAUAGAUAUCACGCAGAACCCCGAUUGCGAAGGCAGCAUACCGGUGCACAACUGACGCUCAGGCACGAAAGCGUGGGUAUCGAACAGGAUUAGAUACCCUGGUAGUC